GGGCCCGCACAAGCGGUGGAGCAUGUGGUUUAAUUCGAUGAUACGCGAGGAACCUUACCAGGGCUUAAAUGGGAAAUGACAGGGGCAGAGACGCCCCCUUCUUCGGACAUUUUUCAAGGUGCUGCAUGGUUGUCGUCAGCUCGUGCCGUGAGGUGUCAGGUUAAGUCCUAUAACGAGCGCAACCCCUACCGUUAGUUGCCAGCGUGUAAUGACGGGGACUCUAACGGAACUGCCGGUGCAAACCGUGAGGAAGGUGGGGACGACGUCAAAUCAUCACGGCCCUUACGUCCUGGGCUACACACGUGCUACAAUGGUAGGUACAGAGGGAAGCCACCCCGCGAGGGGGAGCAAAUCCUCAAAACCGGGCCCAGUUCGGAUUGGAGUCUGCAACUCGACUCCAUG
rnacentral:rRNA from 1 species